CAUUUCUCAUUUUCCUAAUUUAUACACACACACACAAAAGUGCAGUGUGCGAUUCUCUCUCAAACCCCAAUGCAUUUCUAGAGAGAGAAAGAGAGAAAGCGGAAAACACACCAUUACACACUGCGCCCUUUUCGCUACAAAUCACGACGGAGCAAUGAAAGUGUGUACUGGUAACUGUAGUAUCGUGGAAAGCGACGGUAAUAUUAUUAAUUAUGGUGAUAAAAAUGGUGGCGCCGGAGAAGAAGUGGGCGGCGGUGGAAGGGUGGUGGCCGUGGUGGGAGUGAAGUUAGAUUCCAGGAGUAAAGAGUUGCUGACGUGGGCUUUGGUUAAGGUCGCUCAGCCUGGAGAUCAUGUUGUUGCUGUUCAUGUUCUCGAUCCAAAUACUACUGAAAAACCAGAGCCUAUUGCAUUGGUGAAGACAUUUGACUCGAUGCUGGCUGCUUAUGAAGGCUUCUGCAAUUUAAAGCAGGUGCAUUUGAAGCUUAAAGUCUGUCGAGGAUCACCAGUUCGUAAAGUUCUUGCUCGUGAAGCAAAGUUGGAGAGUGCUACAAAUUUGAUUGUUGGGACUUCAGGCAACCAUCAUACCAUCCGGUCAUCAGUGUCAAUUGCAAAGUACUGUGCUAGGAAAGUGGCAAAGAGCAUCUCAGUUAUUGCUGUUGACAAUGGCAAAAUCGUCUAUCAAAGGGCCGCAGGUGCUUCAUCAGUUGGAGAUGAGUCUAGUGACUCAGAUGUGCCCGAAUCAAGAUUCAAGAGAAGGAAGACAUUGAGAAAAAGUCCUUUGAGCUUAACACCUAAAAGAGCUGCGGAAAAAGACUCGUGUCCUGAGAACAAUGCUAUGGCUUUGGUGCCUGUUAGGAGUGUUGAAGUCCAUCAAUCAAAGUCUCGGUGGGCGCUGCUUCGACGAGUGUUUCUUCACAACAUAGUGGCAUCUGAAAAAUCUCCUACGAAAAGGUCAUCUAUGAUGCAAUGGGUUUGGAAACGACCAAGUCGGCAAUCUUUUGCAGCUAUCUACCCUGAUCAUAAACAGAGUGUAUCUGACAAGGAUGAGCCUCAUCGUACAAAGUUGGAUGAAGAGAAGGGAGCAAUUAUUCCUUUUGGAAGUAAUGCUAGUGCUCUUUCAGAUGAGUGCUUCAUUAUCCUUCCUGAGGAACUGGAGGGUCUUACUGAGAGGUACUCGUCUAUUUGCAGAUUGUUUAGCUACCAGGAGCUUUGUUCAGCAACUUCUAGUUUCCUUCCUGAAAAUUUGAUUGGAAAGGGAGGCAGCAGUAAGGUUUACAAAGGGUGCCUUCCAGACGGCAAGCAACUUGCUGUAAAAAUAUUGAAGCCAUCAGAAGUUGUGGCAAAGCAAUUUCUUUCGGAGAUUGAAAUAAUUACGACUCUGCACCACAAGCACAUUAUUUCACUGUUUGGAUUUUGUUUAGAGGAGAAAAACCUUCUGCUGGUUUAUGAUCUGUUAUCCAGAGGAAGCUUAGAAGAGAAUCUCCAUGGUUCUGAAAAGGAUCAAAAUUCACUUAGCUGGGAAGAUAGGUACAAGGUUGCUUUGGGUGUUGCUGAGGCACUGGACCACCUACACAAUGCAGCUGAUGGCCCCAUAAUUCAUAGGGAUGUGAAAUCUUCAAACAUUCUCCUGUCUGAUGAUUUUGUGCCACAGCUUUCAGAUUUUGGACUUGCAACAUUGGCCUCAAGUUGUUCAUACCAUUUAGAUAGCGCUGAUGUUGCUGGAACAUUUGGCUACUUGGCUCCAGAGUACUUUAUGCAAGGAAAGAUAACUGAAAAGAUUGAUGUCUAUGCAUUUGGUGUUGUUCUCCUUGAGCUUUUGUCUGGUAAAAAGCCAAUUGAUAAUGGAAACGGGAAAGGUCAGGAAAGCUUAGUCAUGUGGGCGAAACAAGCUCUGAAGGGUGGGGAAAUAAGGGAGUUGCUAGAUCCUAGCUUGAUAGACGCAUAUGACCAUGAUCAAUUCGAGAGAAUGGUCCUAGCUGCAUCACUUUGCAUCAGACGAGCUCCUGGAUUUAGACCUCAAAUUGACAUCGUGGUGAAACUCCUCCAAGGUGAGGUAGAAACAAUUAAGUGGGCGAGGGAAGAAGGCAAAGCUUCAGAGGAAGUAGAUGCUGUUGAUGGUGAACAACCAGCGUCAAACAUACAAUCCUUUAUUAAUCUUGCAUUGAUGAAUCUGGAGGAUGAGUCCUCACUUUCCUGUAACAGCACAGGACCAACCAUUUCCGUGGAGGAUUAUUUGCAAGGGAGGUUUAGUCGCUCUUCAAGUUUCGACUAGCCAUUCCUAUGAUAGGUUUCUAUGGCUAUAUCAAGUAGCCUUUCUUUUGUAAAUACUGAGGUUCCCUUCUUCAUUGAUUGCCCCAUUGCUGGGUCCUGGUACGAGAGGUUUUCAGCUAUUGACCUCCUCCUUCCCUGCCUGGGCUGAUUUUUUCCACAGUUUUUUUUCCAGUGUAGUAACAAUGCUGUCAAAAGUUGGUAAGUUAUCUGAAUGAGCAAAUGAUCAGCAGAUGCCCGCAGGUCACUGCAAAUAUAUAAUGACUCGGAUGACUCGGAUUUUAGAGUGACAGUGAAGACCUUACGCUUAUACUAUCACACGCGAAAAAUUUACAAAUGGCCAAGGACAGGAGUUGAAGUGAGUGCUUCAGCUGGAUAAGCUUCGGCGCUCUCAACCUGGUUUGAAUCGUUUGACUAUGACUCCGCAUUCUUUACAAUCAUAAGCUCGAUCAUGAGGGUCCAAAUCAGGGUCUCCAUCUCGCCUUAUUUAUUAACUAAGUUCGGGAAAAUAAAAAUUUGCAUAAGUUAUAGGUAUAGCUCAGGAGAUGAGAUUGGAUCUGCAUCAUCUAGAACUAAAGAAGCUUCGGGUUCUCCUUCCCCAUUUCAGGUUUUAGAAGAGUUAGUUUCGCACAGGGCACCUUUACUAAUUUUCCCCUUUCUUUUAUGGCUUGCUGGCUGGAUUAGCUAGCUUCAAGGCGCUUUGCCUGGUCAAUCAAAUUUAGCCACAUAAUCAAAGGUCAACUAUAUUUAACCACUAAGUAAGCACGUUAACAAUUUGUUGACUAAAAUACCCCUACUCUCUUUAUAAAAUUUACGCGACUUGAUUUCA